UGAACGGAGGUGAGAGCCUUAGGGUGCAUCAUCGACCGAUCCUGAUGUCUUCGGAUGGAUUUGAGUAAGAGCAUAACUGUUCGGACCCGAAAGAUGGUGAACUAUGCGUGGAUAGGGUGAAGCCAGAGGAAACUCUGGUGGAGGCUCGCAGCGGUUCUGACGUGCAAAUCGAUCGUCAAAUCUGCGCAUGGGGGCGAAAGACUUAUCGAACCAUCUAGUAGCUGGUUACCGCCGAAGUUUCCCUCAGGAUAGCAGUGUUGUCUUCAGUUUUAUGAGGUAAAGCGAAUGAUUAGGGACUCGGGGGCGCUAUAUUGCCUUCAUCCAUUCUCAAACUUUAAAUAUGUAAGAAGCCCUUGUUACUUAGUUGAACGUGGGCAUUCGAAUGUACCAACACUAGUGGGCCAUUUUUGGUAAGCAGAACUGGCGAUGCGGGAUGAACCGAACGCGGGGUUAAGGUGCCAGAGUGGACGCUCAUCAGACACCACAAAAGGUGUUAGUACAUCUUGACAGCAGGACGGUGGCCAUGGAAGUCGGAAUCCGCUAAGGACUGUGUAACAACUCACCUGCCGAAUGUACUAGCCCUGAAAAUGGAUGGCGCUCAAGCGUCUCACCCAUACCUCGCCCUUAGGGUAGAAACGAUGCCCUAAGGAGUAGGCGGCCGUGGAGGUUAGUG
rnacentral:rRNA from 1 species